rnacentral:lncRNA from 1 species
GCUCGUUUCUCGAAUCGAGAGUUAGAAUCGCGCCGGUCAGCCUCUAGUACGACUCGGUACAUCCUGAAUCGUGUAGUUGAGGGUUGUACAACGAUCCUUACUUAACAGCUUUCUAUCCAUGAUCAUACCCAUCUAAACUUGAUAGUGAGACACAAGAUUCACUGUCUUGGUAUCGGACCUCGUAUCAGUGGCACACUAGUACUAUGCCGGUAUGGAUGGUACGAGAUCUUUUCGGCGUACCGAGUGUCGGUAUGCCAUUCGUACUGGAUAUUGGUACCGAAUUGGUAUGGUAUGAUACACCCCGUACUAUACUAACAUACUAUAUCGUACUGAUAAGGUACCAAUGCAGCAAGCCUGGAUUGCAUACUUGUCAAUAUUUAAUGUGUAUAUCAUUCAAAACUCAAUAGUUGCUAUAGGUUUUGUGCUUUCUUAGGUUGACAGGUCUUACAUUCGUCCCUUUUUUGUGUGUUUUUUACUUGUGUUUAUACCUUUGGUUGCUACUUAUAUAUUGAUUACUGAAAUUUAAGCCCCUUCCUUUACUUUUUUCCAAAUUAGAGGAAACCAAGAUGGUAAUCUCUGCAAGAUCUGCAUUAAUUAACUUAUUGUUGUUCUUGUGAAGCAGAGGUCAAAUUCUUGCUCUUCCCUUACACGUGCAAAUUUUGGUAUUUGAUCUAUAUUUAAAAGUUUUAACUCUCUCUCUCUCUCUCUCUCUCUCUCUC